rnacentral:lncRNA from 1 species
ACAUAUGCAAACUGAUGCCAAAGAACAAAGAUUCUUUGUAGGAGGAGCAUGUGGAGAAGCAACAGAUAAGGAAGAAAGAGAGGGGGAGAAAGAAGAGUCAUUAGUAAGAAAUAGAUAGAGAUGGAGAAAAUCACUAUGGUGGUUGAGGGCUUAUGACAGACUUUGGGAAAGAGGAUGAGAUAGAGAAGUGCAUGAGGAAAAAAAGAAGAAAGAAGAAGAGAUUGCCAACAAAGAAUGGAUAGAGAUGAAAAGAGCCACCAUGAAGGAGAGGGCUCAUGGAUGGGCAUGA